UUUAUAUAUGAGACAAUUGAAGUGAUAUGUGACUCAGUUUAGUGCAACGUGGAGUCGUUAAAUCAGCUACCCAAAACACAGAAAUCGACAUACAGAGAAUAAUGUUAAAUCGAAGAACAAAAGCCGAUUACAUCAGCAAAUAAAGAUAAAGUUCUCUUCAAAAACGAUGUCGGAAAAAGAUCUAUCAAUAUCUGGAUCAGUUGCUAUCACGAUUUGCUAUGGUAUCGUCG